CCUUAUGACAAAACGCAUACGGACUUAGAAUAACAUCUCUAAAGCAUACAGAGGACCGUUCACAAAUAGCUCUCACUGUGCUUUGAUGUCGCCGAACCGUCUGCGAUCAAACAUCAGUGGCACGAGUGUUCACCCCCGGUGUUGUUCCGCUCGCGCGACAGGCGGGAAUUCAAAAUAACGGAUCGCAACAACCUCUCGACUGUCCCAUUGGAUAAUUUUCAGUAUUUUCCAGUUGAGCAGCAAAAAAAUGGGCAACCAAGGCCAACAGACCCAGCCCACCCUGAUGCUCAUCCUUGCACUGCCUGGGACACCUAAGGCCAACAGGCGCAGCUCCUGUUCUCUUUUUGCCAUAAAUACAUAUCUACUUUAGCAAUACAAAAUUGUGAAAUGCACUAUAGAAAUUAUUUUGACUUUGGAUCCUCACACCACCUGGUAAUAGCAGGAAACCCAUUUGGAGAGAACAGCAUUGUUUUCUCUAGCUCGCAAGGAUUUGCUUUUUGGCAAAUUACAACUUUACCAUGGGUGUAGGCCUUGCUAUGAGAGACUACUUUUUUGCUGGACUUUUUUACAAUUGUACAUUUGUACAAAGUACCUGAAAUAUUUCUGUAUGUACAGUAUAUUUAAAAUUAAGGCAAAUUAUUUGGUUAGUUUUGUUAAGAU